rnacentral:rRNA from 1 species
UACGUAGGGUGCGAGCGUUGUCCGGAAUUAUUGGGCGUAAAGAGCUCGUAGGCGGUUUGUUGCGUCUAUCGUGAAAACCUGCAGCUUAACUGUGGGCUUGCGGUGGAUACGGGCAGACUUGAGUUCGGUAGGGGAGACUGGAAUUCCUGGUGUAGCGGUGAAAUGCGCAGAUAUCAGGAGGAACACCGGUGGCGAAGGCAGGUCUCUGGGCCACUACUGACGCUGAGAAGCGAAAGCAUGGGGAGCGAACAGG